CGCAUGAGUGGCGUCCUGCUGUAAAUAUGGACAGAUAAUAAAGUUGGUGGAAUUUAGAUGAGCGUAUGUGAGUCAGAUGCUCAUAAAGGACCAUCACACAUAC